rnacentral:rRNA from 1 species
CACGUAGGGCGCAAGCGUUGUCCGGAAUUAUUGGGCGUAAAGAGCUCGUAGGCGGUCUGUUACGUCUGCUGUGAAAACUCGGGGCUUAACCCCGAGCCUGCAGUGGAUACGGGCAGACUAGAGGUAGGUAGGGGAGAAUGGAAUUCCCGGUGUAGCGGUGAAAUGCGCAGAUAUCAGGAGGAACACCGGUGGCGAAGGCGGUUCUCUGGGCAUGUCCUGACGCUGAGGAGCGAAAGUGUGGGGAGCGAACAGG